rnacentral:tRNA from 1 species
GGCCGAGUCGGCCGGGUCGGCGGACGCGGGCCCUGACGCGGUCCGCUGGCGGCGGGUUCACGCCUCGCCGCGGGCGC